AAAAUUUAUAGUGUGACAUGUUUUCAAGACGCACACGAAGCUCUAGGAGUACAUUGUAAAAUGAGAGAAUGACAGAAGUAAGGAAAGAAUUCACUAAAU